rnacentral:lncRNA from 1 species
CCUCGGGGUGAUCACCCCUCCGUCAGAUGCUUUCUAACUGAUGCCAGUUGUGUUCCAGCAGGACCAGGCGCACCAGGAAACAGACUGGAGAGGGAGGGCCUUCCCUUCUCAGCGCUUGGUGGGGAUGGAGGCAGCGACCUGUACUGCAGGACCUGCAGGCAGUUCUUCAGCUCCCUGCACAACAAGAAGGAGCACCUGCUGGGGAAACAGCACCUGCAGAACCUGACAGGGAAAUUCGAAAAAGAUUCCACUGAGUACUUAAAGCAUCUGGAACCUCGGGUGAAGGAGGAAUGUUGGAAUUUGCACAAAGGGAACUUGGAGGAGGACGCCGAGUGCCCUGAUCCACUUCCACUAGGAGGCCUGUUUCCAGAGGAGCGUUUUUCUUCACUCGACUUGUGUUUCUUGCAAGAGUUUAUCUUUAAACUUCUGAAAAUCAAGGAAUUCGAGCUCCAGGAGCUGAGGAAGACUCUAGAAAGAGCCCGAGUGGAACAGGAGGACUUGCAGAGGCAGCUGGUAAAGUUCCAGAGCCAGCAGCAGAGGCUGGAGGCGGAGCUGGCGGGCCUGAAGACCUACCGCAUCAUCCUGGAGAAGGAGUUUGAGAACCUGAACAUGGUGCUGAUGCUGUCCCGCUUCGGCUGCAGGUGAUGGACACGGGUGAGCCCCUGUCUCAGGCAGCCCCUCCCCACUCCCCUGGCCCCACGCACCCCGUGUGUGUUCUCCGCCCCAGGCCCAGUGCAUAGUAGGACUCCAGGAGUA